rnacentral:misc_RNA from 1 species
UCCCUGUUACCAGGGCAGUCUAGCUAGAAAAAUACAACUAACUAUAAGGGUUGCGCUCGUUGUGGCACUUAAGCCAACACCUCACGGCACGAGCUGACGACAGCCAUGCAGCACCUGUGUUCCGAUUCCCUUUCGGGCACACCCACAUCUCUGCGGGCUCUCGGACAUGUCAAGGGUAGGUAAGGUUUUUCGCGUUGCAUCGAAUUAAUCCACAUAAUCCACCGCUUGUGCGGGUCCCCGUCAAUUCCUUUGAGUUUUAACCUUGCGGCCGUACUCCCCAGGCGGUCGACUUCACGCGUUAGCUUCGUUACUGAGAGUGUCAAACCCCCAACAACCAGUCGACAUCGUUUAGGGCGUGGACUAC